UACGUAGGCAGCGAGCGUUGUUCGGAUUUACUGGGCGUAAAGGGUGUGUAGGCGGUUGUUUAAGUUUGGUGUGAAAUCUCCCGGCUCAACUGGGAGGGUGCGCCGAAUACUGAAUGACUUCGAGUGCGGGAGAGGAAAGUGGAAUUCCUGGUGUAGCGGUGAAAUGCGUAGAUAUCUGGAGGAAUACCGGUGGCGAAGGCGGCAUCCUGGACCGACAUUGACGCUGAACGGCGAAAGCUAGGGGAGCAAACGGG
rnacentral:rRNA from 1 species